rnacentral:rRNA from 1 species
ACGAAGGUUGCGAGCGUUGUUCGGAAUCACUGGGCUUAAAGCGCAUGUAGGCGGAUGAGUAAGCGUUUUGUGAAAUCCCCCGGCUUAACCGGGGAAUUGCUUGGCGAACUGCUCAUCUUGAGGCAAGCAGGGGUGCAUGGAACUCUUGGUGGAGCGGUGGAAUGCGUAGAUAUCAAGAGGAACGCCAAUGGUGAAAACAGUGCACUGGGCUUGUUCUGACGCUGAGAUGCGAAAGCGUGGGGAGCGAACGG